rnacentral:rRNA from 1 species
AGCGAACGCUGGCGGCAGGCCUAACACAUGCAAGUCGAACGAACCCUUCGGGGUUAGUGGCGGACGGGUGAGUAACACGUGGGAACGUGCCUUUAGGUUCGGAAUAACUCAGGGAAACUUGUGCUAAUACCGAAUGUGCCCUUCGGGGGAAAGAUUUAUCGCCUUUAGAGCGGCCCGCGUCUGAUUAGCUAGUUGGUGAGGUAAUGGCUCACCAAGGCUACGAUCAGUAGCUGGUCUGAGAGGAUGACCAGCCACAUUGGGACUGAGACACGGCCCAAACUCCUACGGGAGGCAGCAGUUGGGAAGCUUGCGCAAUGGGCGAAAGCCUGACGCAGCCAUGCCGCGUGGAUGAUGAAGGUCUUAGGAUUGUAAAAUCCUUUCACCGGUGAAGAUAAUGACUGUAGCCGGAGAAGAAGCCCCGGCUAACUUCGUGCCAGCCGCCGCCGUAAAAC